GUGUUUGUAGCUUAAUUCAAAGCCCCCGCCUGUGAAGCGGGAAGAUAUCGGGUCGAGUCCGAUCAUACACCCCA
rnacentral:tRNA from 1 species